UCUUGAAAUGAGGACUUAAUGGACCACUCCAAGAGGAAGCCAGAAGCAGAAGUGAAGAGUUGCCUGAUGUCACUGUUGCCUCAUGAGCGACUGGUCCCAUCAGGCUUGGUAACAAACAGCUUUACCUACUGAGGCAUCCCUGGCCCAAGCUGUCAUUUUCAUGGACACUAGGCCUGGCCUUUCAAACUCUGAAGCCAAUAUAUGGUCACUGGAAAUGAAUUCUUCUGAGACCCAAAACUACAAGAAAAUCUCUUGGGAAUUUCUGGUUCAUCUUCAUGGGAAGGAAAAAAGACAGACUCAAGCCAAGGAAGAAGAUGGCUCCAGGGAAGGCCAGACCUGUGACCUCGGCCUUUUAAAGGAAACUCCAGAGAAGUGGAGCCAUAGAUCUGUUCCAAGCUGACACCACCUGCUGGAGAUGGAGUGUUAAAACACACAAGCCUGUGGAUCAGACCUCCGUGACCGGGGACCAGCCAGCUACCAGCUAGCGCCCACCGUGUUGCACGCACACCAGUCAUCUCAGCCCGUCAUGCUCUCCCCUCCACCUUUUCAUGUGCAGUGGAUCAUCAAAACCCCUUUCAUUGUCUCUUUCCCAGAUACAGAGUCUGGGUGGAAAAUGGCAAUAUUCAGAGGGCUCCUCUGGACCACCUUGGAAUCAUACCUCUAAGGAAAUAAUAAAAGCAGAGUAUGACACCUACUGAGGACAUCAGUCUUCGAGCGUUAUCUAGA
rnacentral:lncRNA from 1 species